AUAUCACCAACAAUGAGAGAGUGGUUGUAAAAAUCCUGAAGCCAGUGAAGAAAAAGAAGAUAAAACGAGAGGUUAAGAUUCUGGAGAACCUUCGUGGUGGAACAAAUAUCAUUAAGCUGAUUGACACUGUAAAGGACCCCGUGUCAAAGACACCAGCUUUGGUAUUUGAAUAUAUCAAUAAUACAGAUUUUAAGCAACUCUACCAGAUCCUGACAGACUUUGAUAUCCGGUUUUAUAUGUAUGAACUACUUAAAGUAAGUGGUGUUCAUAAACCAUUAAUUUUUUUCAGGCCUGUUCAUUAAAAGAUAAGUUUUUGAGAGAACAAAGAGAACUUAAGCAGAAUGUUUCUUGAUACCCAGAGGAUUUAGUGAAGUUUUUAAACUUAUAUUGAGGCCUCCAUCGAGGAAUCUUCACAUAGAAACUUUCCAGUGGAACUGGGAAAAAAGUGGCCAAGUCAAGGGGUACCAGGGACAUUAUACCUUAGAACCUCCCAUAGCUCUUGUUGGUCCAUAUGUUUUCUCUUUGCUGCUUUAUUAAUACCUACUGUGAAUGUAACAAAUCAUCCCAAACUUAAUGACUUUUAAAAAAUGAUUAUUGUUUCUUAUAAUUGAGUUAGCCAGGUGAUUCUUUAGGUCUCAGUUGAUUUGACUGGGGCAGGAUGGUCCAGGAUGACCUCAUUCACAAUCU
rnacentral:lncRNA from 1 species